rnacentral:lncRNA from 1 species
AAGCUCUACAGUCAGGCAAAUAAAAGAUACCAAGAAUUAUGAAACGCCUCUACCAGCUUCCUCUUUCAGCAAAUGAAAAACACUCUCCAGAGGAGGAUAUUUUGGAAGUGAUCCAGGCAGAACGUUGGGUUCAUACUACAGCUGGAACUGUCCAGCUAUUUCAGUGAAGACUCACUGCUUGAGAAUGUCAAUGGUGAAACUCUGUGUGCUGGCUGCAUGCUGAACCUUUGUCUCAGCGAGGGCGGACCAGGACUGCUAUCAGCCUUUCCUUUCUUCUGCCUUGUUAUUUUAAAAAUAAAUUUUACAUGUGGAGGCCA